GCCAGGCGUUGUGGUGGGCGCCUGUGGUCCCAGCUACUCGGGAGGUGGAGGCAGGAGACUCGCUUGAGCCUAGGAGUUGGAGGUUGCUGUGAGCUGUGAUGCCACGGCACUCUACCCAGGGGGACAGCUUGAGGCUCUGUCUCAAAUAAAAAAAAAGUCAGUUUUUUCUUAGCCCUCCCUUUCCUCUUUCCCCCAUUGCUCAUAACUAGUAACUUUUAAUUGAGAUCCAAAUAAAGUAUACACAUGUUUGUGAUAAAUUGAUGUCUCUUAAAUCUUUUUGUUUUGUUUUGUUUUGAGACAGAGCCUCAAGCUGUCCCCCCUGGGUAGAGUGCCGUGGAAUAGCUCACAGCAACCUCCAACUCCUGGGCUCAAGCGAGUCUCCUGCCUCCGC
rnacentral:SRP_RNA from 1 species